rnacentral:piRNA from 1 species
UGAAUUCGGGAAUUUCUAUUGGGGGUA